rnacentral:misc_RNA from 1 species
UUUUAGUUCUCUUCGAUCCAAUAAGGCGGCGCUGAAACUAACAAUUUUCUCCUAAAAAACAGUUGUGCACAUUGGAUUUUAAUGAUUAUGGGAAUAGAUUAAUGUGUUUUUCCGUGAAAGCCAGAUGGAAAGAUGAAUUUCCCGCAAAAGACGAGAGAGGAGAUCAAGGCGGAGCGCGAAGCGAAAAAAGCUGCCAAGGCUGCUGCUAAGGCAACGAAAGGCAAAAAUGUAAGCAAAGUAGCAAGCUCAAAUAAUAACGUUAAAAAUGUAUCUCCAGUAAUCAAUUCUAAAAUUUCGGAGAAAAGUGUGGAAAGAGACGUGUCGAAAGAAAGCGAUAACAAAAUAACAAACACAGAUAUUAAAAAUAAACCCACUGCGGUCAAUUGUGAUAUCUCGGAAAAAAGUACAAAAACAGACGCAGUGACUGUAAAAGACUCGCAACCUACGAGAGAAGUGUCUAAGGAAAACACAACUCAAUCUUCGAAUAUUGGCACACAAAGUUGUACGCCUGAGGGCAAAAGUAAAGAAAAGAUCGGAGAGAAAAGUAAGGCUGAAUUACGCGCGGAACGAAGAGCCAAACAGGAAGCGCAGAGAGCUGCAAAACAACAACAAUUAUUAGCAAAAGAUAAUAGUAAAACUAAAGAACCUAUUAAACCAUGCGUAGAGACUAAAUCCGAGUGUGUAGUAAAGAAAGAUGUUAUAAAGAACGUAAUAAAGGAGGAUCCGCACCAACUUAGUUUAUUUAAACAUUUGUAUCACGAAAGAGAAAGCUCACGGAUUGCUGUAGCUCCUAUCAACUUAAAUAUACAUCCGGCAAUAAUUAGACUAGGCGUUCAAUAUGAAAGUAAAGUUAUCGUUGGCAGUAAUGCAAGAUGCGUCGCGCUUUUGGCUGCUGUCAAACAAGUGGUUAAGGACUUUGAGAAGCCAGCACAGGCUGACUUUGUCCGCGGCCUUGAGACUAGUCUGCAGCAAUCCAUGGUAUAUUUACAUCAUUGUAGGCCGCUGGCUGUCUCGCAACAGAAUGCCAUGCGUCAUCUCAAGUGGCAAAUGACACGGUUUUCGUCAUUGUCUGAUGAAAAAGCAAAAAAUAAAUUACAAGGUAUAAUAGAUACAUAUAUUUCGGAACAGAUUCAAUUGGCUGGUAAAGCAAUAUCGAUAAAGAUACGAGAAAAAAUCUCAAAUGGAAAUGUUAUUUUAACAUAUGGAUACUCAUCCUUAAUUCAUAAUAUAUUAGUGGAAGCACAUGAUGCUGGUAAACAAUUUCGCGUAAUCGUGGUUGAUGGCAGGCCAUGGUUGGAAGGAAAGGAACAGCUGAGACGUUUAACAAAACAUGGAAUUGAGUGCUCAUAUAUAUUAAUCAACGCUCUCAGCUUUAUUAUGCCAGAGGUUAGCAAAGUUUUUCUUGGUGCUCAUGCGAUAUUAGCCAACGGAGCGGUAAUGUCGAGAGCGGGAACUGCGCAAGUUGCUCUGAUAGCAAAGGCCUUCAAUGUACCUGUUUUAGUGGUUUGUGAGACGCAUAAAUCAAGUGAACGAGUGCAAACCGACUCUAUCGUUUAUAAUGAAUUGGGUGACGCGGACGAGCUCGUGAAUCAUCAAUCAAAUGACGAGGCGAAAAAAUCAUUACUAUCGAAUUGGCGAACAAAAAAAUCGUUAAAUCUCCUUAACAUCACGUAUGACGUGACUCCGGCUGACCUCGUGACAGCCGUUGUCACGGAAUUGGCGAUUGUGCCAUGUACUAGUGUUCCUGUGAUUUUACGAAUUAAACCAUCCGAAAUUUAAAUACGUUUUCUCCUUCAAAAUAUUAAUUUUAACCAUUUUUGCGUGAUAUCUGUAAACAAAACAGUUGACAGCUAUCGGAAUUGCGUGUGACGCGGACGAACUCGUGAAUCGUCAAUCAAAUGAGGAGUCGAAAAAAUCUUUACUAUUGAAUUGGCCAAUGAAAAAAUCGUUAAAUCUCUUAAACAUUACGUAUAUGACAUGACUUCGGUUGACUUCGUGAUGAUCGUUGUCACGGAACUGGCAAUUGUGCCACGUAUUAGUGUGUUCCUGUGAUUUUACGAAUUAAAGCUUCCGAAAUUUAAAUAUGUUUUCUCUUUCAAAAUAUUAAUUUUAACAAUUUUUGCGUAACAUCUGUAAACAAAACAGUUGAUACCUAUCGGAAUUGCUUGAAAGCAUAACAUAUGCAAGAUUGUAUUUAAUAUGAGGAAUUAAUUAGCGAACAAAGAAAUUAUUAAACCUCUUAAAUAUUACGUAUAACGUGACGGCCGUUAUCAUGAAAUUGAAAAUAAUUGUACUAGUGUUCCUGUAAUUUUACGAAUUAAACCUUCCGAAAUUUAAA